GGCUAGGUAGCUCAGCUGGUUAGAGCGCGCGACUCAUAAUCGCGAGGUCGGGGGUUCGAGUCCCCCCCUCGCCACCA
rnacentral:tRNA from 2 species